CCUACGGGGGGCAGCAGUGAGGAAUAUUGGUCAAUGGGCGCGAGCCUGAACCAGCCAAGUCGCGUGAGGGAAGACGGUCCUAUGGAUUGUAAACCUCUUUUGUCGGGGAGCAAAAGACGCCACGCGUGGCGUUCCGAGAGUACCCGAAGAAAAAGCAUCGGCUAACUCCGUGCCAGCAGCCGCGGUAAUACGGAGGAUGCGAGCGUUAUCCGGAUUUAUUGGGUUAAAGGGGUGCGCAGGCGGAAGAUAAAGUCAGCGGGAAAAUUGAGAGGCUCAACCUCUUCGAGCCGUUGAAACUGGUUUUCUUGAGUGAGCGAGAAGUAUGCGGAAUGCGUGGUGUAGCGGUGAAAUGCAUAGAUAUCACGCAGAACUCCGAUUGCGAAGGCAGCAUACCGGCGCUCAACUGACGCUCAUGCACGAAAGUGUGGGUAUCGAACAGGAUUAGAUACCCUGGUAGUC
rnacentral:rRNA from 1 species